rnacentral:rRNA from 1 species
GAUGAAUGCUGGCGGCGUGCCUAACACAUGCAAGUCGAGCGGCAGCGCGAGUAGUUUACUACUUGGCGGCGAGCGGCGGACGGCUGAGUAACGCGUGGGAACGUGCCCCAAAGUGAGGAAUAACUGCCCGAAAGGUUGGCUAAUGCCGCAUAUGAUCUUCGGAUUAAAGGAUUUAUCCGCUCUGGGAGCGGCCCGCGUCGGAUUAGGUUGUUGGUGAGGUAAUGGCUCACCAAGCCGACGAUCCGUAGCUGGUCUGAGGGGAUGAUCAGCCAGACUGGGACUGAGACACGGCCCAGACUCCUACGGGAGGCAGCAGUGAGGAAUCUUCCACAAUGGGCGAAAGCCUGAUGGAGCAACGCCGCGUGAAGGAUGAAGGCCCUCGGGUUGUAAACUUCUUUUAUAAGUGAAGAAUAUGACGGUAACUUAUGAAUAAGCACCGGCUAACUACGUGCCAGCCGCCGCAGUAA